rnacentral:rRNA from 1 species
GAUGAACGCUGGCGGCGUGCCUAAUACAUGCAAGUCGAGCGAACAGACGAGGAGCUUGCUCCUCUGACGUUAGCGGCGGACGGGUGAGUAACACGUGGAUAACCUACCUAUAAGACUGGGAUAACCUCGGGAAACCGGAGCUAAUACCGGAUAACAUGUUGAACCGCAUGGUUUAACAGUGAAAGACGGUCUUGCUGUCACUUAUAGAUGGAUCCGCGCCGCAUUAGCUAGUUGGUAAGGUAACGGCUUACCAAGGCAACGAUGCGUAGCCGACCUGAGAGGGUGAUCGGCCACACUGGAACUGAGACACGGUCCAGACUCCUACGGGAGGCAGCAGUAGGGAAUCUUCCGCAAUGGGCGAAAGCCUGACGGAGCAACGCCGCGUGAGUGAAGAAGGUCUUCGGAUCGUAAAACUCUGUUAUUAGGGAAGAACAAAUGUGUAAGUAACUAUGCACGUCUUGACGGUACCUAAUCAGAAAGCCACGGCUAACUACGUG